rnacentral:rRNA from 1 species
UACGGAGGGUGCAAGCGUUAAUCGGAAUUACUGGGCGUAAAGCGCACGCAGGUGGCUGAGUAAGUCGAUUGUGAAAGCCCUGGGCUUAACCUGGGAAUUGCAGUCGAUACUGCUCGGCUAGAGUAUGGGAGAGGGUAGUGGAAUUCCCGGUGUAGCGGUGAAAUUCGUAGAUAUUCGGAAGAACACCAGUGGCGAAGGCGGCUCACUGGACCGGUAUUGACGCUGAGACGCGAAAGCGUGGGGAGCGAACAGG